rnacentral:rRNA from 1 species
UUUUCCGGUUGAUCCCGCCGGAGGACAUUGCUAUUGGGAUUCGAUUUAGCCAUGCUAGUUGUACGAGUUUAGACUCGUAGCGAAUAGCUCAGUAACACGUGGCCAAACUACCCUUCGGACCACAAUACCCUCGGGAAACUGAGGCUAAUAGUGGACACCACACGCAGACUGGAAUGUCGCGUGUGUCAAACGCUCCGGCGCCGAAGGAUGUGGCUGCGGCCGAUUAGGUAGACGGUGGGGUAACGGCCCACCGUGCCAAUAAUCGGUACGGGUCAUGAGAGUGAGAACCCGGAGACGGAAUCUGAGACAAGAUUCCGGGCCCUACGGGGCGCAGCAGGCGCGAAACCUUUACACUGCACGCCAGUGCGAUAAGGGGAUCCCAAGUGCGUAGGCAUAGAGCCUACGCUUUUGUCUACCCUAGGGUGGUAGACGAAUAAGGGCUGGGCAAGACCGGUGCCAGCCGCCGCGGUAAUACCGGCAGCCCGAGUGAUGGCCGCUAUUAUUGGGCCUAAAGCGUCCGUAGCCGGCCAGACAAGUCCGUUGGGAAAUCGACGCGCUCAACGCGUCGGCGUCCGGCGGAAACUGUCUGGCUUGGGGCCGGAAGACUCGAGGGGUACGUCCGGGGUAGGAGUGAAAUCCCGUAAUCCUGGACGGACCGCCGGUGGCGAAAGCGCCUCGAGAAGACGGACCCGACGGUGAGGGACGAAAGCUAGGGUCUCGAACCGGAUUAGAUACCCGGGUAGUCCUAGCCGUAAACGAUGCUCGCUAGGUGUGCCGCAGGCUACGAGCCUGCGCUGUGCCGUAGGGAAGCCGUGAAGCGAGCCGCCUGGGAAGUACGUCUGCAAGGAUGAAACUUAAAGGAAUUGGCGGGGGAGCACUACAACCGGAGGAGCCUGCGGUUUAAUUGGACUCAACGCCGGACAUCUCACCAGCACCGACAGUAGCAGUGACGGUCAGUUUGAUGAGCUUACCUGAGCUACUGAGAGGAGGUGCAUGGCCGCCGUCAGCUCGUACCGUGAGGCGUCCUGGUAAGUCAGGCAACGAGCGAGACCCGCACUCCUAGUUGCCAGCAGCAUCUUGCGAUGGCUGGGUA